CCUACGGGAGGCAGCAGUGAGGAAUAUUGGUCAAUGGACGAGAGUCUGAACCAGCCAAGUAGCGUGAAGGAUGACUGCCCUAUGGGUUGUAAACUUCUUUUCUAUGGGAAUAAAACGUUCCACGUGUGGGAUUUUGUAUGUACCAUAUGAAUAAGGAUCGGCUAACUCCGUGCCAGCAGCCGCGGUAAUACGGAGGAUCCGAGCGUUAUCCGGAUUUAUUGGGGUUAAAGGGAGCGUAGGUGGGUUGUUAAGUCAGUUGUGAAAGUUUGCGGCGUAACCGUAAAAUUGCAGUUGAAACUGGCAGUCUUGAGUACAGUAGAGGUAGGCGGAAUGCGGGGGGUAGCGGUGAAAUGCUUAGAUAUCACGAAGAACUCCGAUUGCGAAGGCAGUUCACUGGACUGCAACUGACACUGAGGCUCGAAAGUGUGGGUAUCAAACAGGAUUAGAUACCCUUGUAGUC
rnacentral:rRNA from 1 species